GGCACUAUAACCAUUUCAACUCAUUUGAUUUGAUAUAGUGCCUGGAGUCCCCUGACGGGGCAUAGUCCCUCCAUUCAGUGUUAAAGCACUAAAUAAGUCAUACCAAUUCAUACCAGCAAUGGGCGCUGUAGCAGGCUGAAAGUGGCCAUCUGACACCCUCGGUCAAUAACAGCUGCAGAUUGCUGCUCAGGCUAAUAGUUCCUCAUUAUUCCAAGC